UGCCACUUAAAGGAAAAUAAUAAUAAAAGGCUUUGUUUUGGGUUUUAACAAUGUAGUGUAAUAUGUUUAUCUUUGUAACUGUAGUGACGCGCUACUGCGCACGUCACGAAUCAGGAAGUUGAUCGCUAUGCGAUAGUCAAUCGCAACAGCCUGCAAUCUCUCUCAGUCACCUGUUUCUCCAGCGAUCGCGUUUUUCCUUUCCCUUUGCUAAAGCAACGUCUUUUCACAAUAUUCCCAGUAAAUUUUAUGGAGAUUAA